AUACAUGCAGUCGAGCGAACAGAUAAGGAGCUUGCUCCUUUGACGUUAGCGGCGGACGGGUGAGUAACACGUGGGUAACCUACCUAUAAGACUGGGAUAACUUCGGGAAACCGGAGCUAAUACCGGAUAACAUUUGGAACCGCAUGGUUCUAAAGUGAAAGAUGGUUUUGCUAUCACUUAUAGAUGGACCCGCGCCGUAUUAGCUAGUUGGUAAGGUAACGGCUUACCAAGGCGACGAUACGUAGCCGACCUGAGAGGGUGAUCGGCCACACUGGAACUGAGACACGGUCCAGACUCCUACGGGAGGCAGCAGUAGGGAAUCUUCCGCAAUGGGCGAAAGCCUGACGGAGCAACGCCGCGUGAGUGAUGAAGGGUUUCGGCUCGUAAAACUCUGUUAUUAGGGAAGAACAAACGUGUAAGUAACUGUGCACGUCUUGACGGUACCUAAUCAGAAAGCCACGGCUAACUACGUGCCAGCAGCCGCGGUAAUACGUAGGUGGCAAGCGUUAUCCGGAAUUAUUGGGCGUAAAGCGCGCGUAGGCGGUUUCUUAAGUCUGAUGUGAAAGCCCACGGCUCAACCGUGGAGGGUCAUUGGAAACUGGGAAACUUGAGUGCAGAAGAGGAAAGUGGAAUUCCAUGUGUAGCGGUGAAAUGCGCAGAGAUAUGGAGGAACACCAGUGGCGAAGGCGACUUUCUGGUCUGUAACUGACGCUGAUGUGCGAAAGCGUGGGGAUCAAACAGGAUUAGAUACCCUGGUAGUCCACGCCGUAAACGAUGAGUGCUAAGUGUUAGGGGGUUUCCGCCCCUUAGUGCUGCAGCUAACGCAUUAAGCACUCCGCCUGGGGAGUACGACCGCAAGGUUGAAACUCAAAGGAAUUGACGGGGACCCGCACAAGCGGUGGAGCAUGUGGUUUAAUUCGAAGCAACGCGAAGAACCUUACCAAAUCUUGACAUCCUUUGAAAACUCUAGAGAUAGAGCCUUCCCCUUCGGGGGACAAAGUGACAGGUGGUGCAUGGUUGUCGUCAGCUCGUGUCGUGAGAUGUUGGGUUAAGUCCCGCAACGAGCGCAACCCUUAAGCUUAGUUGCCAUCAUUAAGUUGGGCACUCUAGGUUGACUGCCGGUGACAAACCGGAGGAAGGUGGGGAUGACGUCAAAUCAUCAUGCCCCUUAUGAUUUGGGCUACACACGUGCUACAAUGGACAAUACAAAGGGCAGCUAAACCGCGAGGUCAUGCAAAUCCCAUAAAGUUGUUCUCAGUUCGGAUUGUAGUCUGCAACUCGACUACAUGAAGCUGGAAUCGCUAGUAAUCGUAGAUCAGCAUGCUACGGUGAAUACGUUCCCGGGUCUUGUACACACCGCCCGUCACACCACGAGAGUUUGUAACACCCGAAGCCGGUGGAGUAACCAUUUAUGGAGCUAGCCGUCGAAAGUG
rnacentral:rRNA from 1 species